rfam:Canis lupus familiaris chromosome 7, whole genome shotgun sequence.
AGGAGGAACAGCCCCAGUGGCGGGGCAGCUCUGGAAACCUGGAUUCAGCUCCGGCAGGAACUCCGGAGCUCUCCGUCUGCAGGGCCUGGAGGCUCCCGGGCGGG